rnacentral:rRNA from 1 species
UGCCAGCAGCCGCGGUAAUACGGAGGGUGCGAGCGUUAAUCGGAAUUACUGGGCGUAAAGCGCGCGUAGGCGGUUAUUUAAGUCGGAUGUGAAAGCCCCGGGCUCAACCUGGGAACUGCAUUCGAUACUGGGUAACUAGAGUACGAUAGAGGGGGGUGGAAUUUCCGGUGUAGCGGUGAAAUGCGUAGAUAUCGGAAGGAACAUCAGUGGCGAAGGCGACCCCCUGGAUUGAUACUGACGCUGAGGUACCAAAGUGUGGGGAGCAAACAGGAUUAGAUA